GAUGAACGCUGGCGGCGUGCCUAAUACAUGCAAGUCGAGCGAACAGAUGAGGAGCUUGCUCCUCUGACGUUAGCGGCGGACGGGUGAGUAACACGUGGAUAACCUACCUAUAAGACUGGGAUAACUUCGGGAAACCGGAGCUAAUACCGGAUAAUAUAUUGAACCGCAUGGUUCAAUAGUGAAAGACGGUUUUGCUGUCACUUAUAGAUGGAUCCGCGCCGCAUUAGCUAGUUGGUAAGGUAACGGCUUACCAAGGCAACGAUGCGUAGCCGACCUGAGAGGGUGAUCGGCCACACUGGAACUGAGACACGGUCCAGACUCCUACGGGAGGCAGCAGUAGGGAAUCUUCCGCAAUGGGCGAAAGCCUGACGGAGCAACGCCGCUUGAGUGAUGAAGGUCUUCGGAUCGUAAAACUCUGUUAUUAGGGAAGAACAAAUGUGUAAGUAACUAUGCACGUCUUGACGGUACCUAAUCAGAAAGCCACGGCUAACUACGUG
rnacentral:rRNA from 1 species